AGUGGGGAAGAUUCUUUGAUUGGAGGUCCUUCCCUUGUGGAGUUUUCCUCUUCUUUCCUCUUUCUGGAUCACCUUUUCAUUGCAGUAGUUACUUUGUCAAUGCGUCUUCUGUACUGCCAUUCUACUGUGUCAAUCUUUCUGAUUGUUACAGAUUCCAAUUUAUGAGGCAAUGUAUAAAAUCUCCUUAUACGUCUCCUGUAUAGAUUGUAUCAGUCAUGAACUACUGCUGACACCAAGCCCUUCACAUAUGCUGAAAACUGACUGAAGAGCUCUGAGGAGAAGCAGCGUGGAAGGGAGCUGCUGACCUGGAGGUGUUUGGAGUGUCUUCAGCAUCUCAUUGCUACUUCGUUCCUGUAAGCAGUGGAGAUUCAAGUCCUCAUCUUCUCUUAAAGGCAUACUAAAGAAAAGGAAUAGAAGGCCAUCUUUCUUACAGUCGGUAGUGGUGGUGGCAUAAGGCAGCAUAUAGCCACGUGUUAAAUCCUACCUUGAAGGUUUUGGGUUGUAUUGGUGGAAGAUGAAAGCAGGAAACUGCAGCCUUGUGUGUUGGAUUGCAAUCUGAAAGUCUUCCAGAAACUUCAGAUGAAUCAGCCUAUAAACCAGCCUCUAAAACAGCAAAAUAGGAUAUUCUGUCCUGGUGCCACUUUUUUAAUACUGUCUUCAGCUUGACCCUUGGUGAAGACCAUACUAAAUAUUACACAUAAUUCCUGUAGUAGUGAUUAAUGAGGUCAGUUUUUACAUUUGCUGUAAAUGACAUGCUGGUAGCUCUAUGAUACCUUGCUAUUAAAUCACCUCUGACCUCUUUUACUUUAGUCAAGUUCUGCCUUAAUGGUAUGUAUUGCUAAAUGUUGGCUUUUCAGUACACUGAGCAGUUAGCAUAGGCAUCUGUGCUGGAAGAAUGCAUGCAGAUUAAAAUUUCUUCAGCCAAAGGAGCAAGUUGUUUGUGUAGUACAUGGUAGCUGAAUUUGAAGUCUAACUUACUGCCUUUGGCAUCUGUAGAUAGGCUCAGAUAACGGUAAUCCAAAAGAGUCCUUGAUUCUUAAACACAUGAACUCUGUGUCUAUGGAUCUUAACAGAGUUUACUUAUCAUGCCGCUUAGUCCUGACAGCAUUUCUGGACAUCUCUGCAUGAAUGGGAGCUUCUAGAGAUAUGGUGGUUUGAGACCUAGAGGGAGCACAGGUUCUUUCAGGGUUAGAUAUGAUCUGAUUUUGGGAAGGUUGCCUUCAUUUCAGACAAUACAUAUUUAGAUCUUGCCAUGACUGCACUUAACGUUUUAUGAAUGGGCUGUUUGUACCAUCCUUAUUGCUGUUGCAGGACUUACUGAUCUGUCGUUCUGUCUUUCUGCUGUAACAGUUUGAAUGAGUCAGAGCAGGAUUUUUUCUUCAUCCACUCUGAUUACCACAAAUAAUGAGUCAAUAAAGACCAUGUAGUACAGCAGCAAUUCCAAAUAGUUUUCAUUUUAUCAACUCUUAUGUGCUAUGAAUGAUUCUGCAGUGACAAGCCAUUGAAUGUUUUCUUGCAAAUGUAGCACUGAGCUUUUCUGUAAUGAUAACAGAAGCAUUGUUCAGGCUUGAAAACGUAGCAUCACAUGUCCAUUGCAGUUAAAAGGAGUAUGAAUUCUUUUAUUUUUUUGUCUACUCUAGUGUGAAACUGUUGGAUUUGUAGAAGGGAAAGAAAAAAGCAUAAUGGAAUAGUGGAAACUGAAAUGCAUUUAUAUAAUAUUUGUUGGUUUGUCAUGGUUGUUAGCUGAAAUAACUGCUUUGACAGGAGGUAACGGGACAGUAAGUUUGAAAAUACUUUUAAAUAAACUUGUUCUAGCAAAGU
rnacentral:lncRNA from 7 species